rnacentral:rRNA from 1 species
UGGGGAAUAUUGCACAAUGGGGGAAACCCUGAUGCAGCGACGCCGCGUGGAGGAAGAAGGCCUUCGGAUUGUAAACUCCUGUUGUUGAGGAAGAUAAUGACGGU